UGUAUCGGAAGCCUGACGAGGAUGAGAACCUCCGGGGGCAAGAGGUUCGACUCGAGCGCAGCGAGAGAACGUUGCGUCAGCAACGG
rnacentral:sRNA from 1 species